rnacentral:rRNA from 1 species
AACCAGCACCUCAAGUGGUCAGGAUGAUUAUUGGGCCUAAAACAUCCGUAGCCUGUUCUAUAAAUUUCCGGUUAAAUCCAUACACUCAACGUAUGGGCUGUCGGAAAUACUGCAGAACUAGGGAGUGGGAGAGGUAGACGGUACUCGAUAGGAAGAGGUAAAAUUCUUUGAUCUAUUGAUGACCACCUGUGGCGAAAACGGUCUACCAGAGCACGUUCGACGAUGAGGGAUGAAAGCUGGAAAAGCAAACCGG